rnacentral:rRNA from 1 species
GAUGAACGCUGGCGGCGUGCCUAAUACAUGCAAGUCGAGCGAACAGACGAGGAGCUUGCUCCUCUGACGUUAGCGGCGGACGGGUGAGUAACACGUGGAUAACCUACCUAUAAGACUGGGAUAACUUCGGGAAACCGGAGCUAAUACCGGAUAAUAUGUUGAACCGCAUGGUUCAACAGUGAAAGACGGUCUUGCUGUCACUUAUAGAUGGAUCCGCGCCGCAUUAGCUAGUUGGUAAGGUAACGGCUUACCAAGGCAACGAUGCGUAGCCGACCUGAGAGGGUGAUCGGCCACACUGGAACUGAGACACGGUCCAGACUCCUACGGGAGGCAGCAGUAGGGAAUCUUCCGCAAUGGGCGAAAGCCUGACGGAGCAACGCCGCGUGAGUGAUGAAGGUCUUCGGAUCGUAAAACUCUGUUAUUAGGGAAGAACAUAUGUGUAAGUAACUAUGCACGUCUUGACGGUACCUAAUCAGAAAGCCACGGCUAACUACGUG